UUGGAGGGGUGGGUUUU
rnacentral:miRNA from 1 species